GUAUGUGUUCGUAUAUUAACUCUAUAUAAUUUUAUAAUACAGUCUAUUCGAUACAUUUAUUAUAUUGCAGUCGUUAUAAUAAUAAACUAUUCGCAUUAUAUCAUCGUCAUAACACAGAUAAAUCUUUUUUUUUAUCGAAUAAUAAUAUCACCGUGGGCGUAACGUUCUUUUUUAUUUUUCGAUUAGGUGUGCAUUUAUAGUUUUGGAUCCAAUAAGAUCAAGCCAAAUGAUACUUCGCAAUCGAAUCGCGUUGACUAACGUCGUCAAUAAUGUUCUAAUUAUAUUAUAUGAUCAAAAUAUGACGCCUCGUCGAUGCCUUCGUAUUUCAUCUAUCAUAUUAUUAUCUAAAUGCACGGAAAACAACACAAAAAGUCACUUCAGUCGCCGUCGGGUCGCGUAUGCAAUAUUUGUUGGACAAUCGCGAUCGAAUAUCAGUUUCAACAUUAAAUGCGUCUUGUUUACACGGAAACACCUUGCAGGGAUGUUCGUCGGUUAUCGAAUAACAAAACCAAACUGCAUGUAACACAUUUCAAUACAUAAAAACGUAACAUACGAAGCGCAACGAUAAGUAUCGAAAUAACUACAAUUGUAAAUGCAUAUCCCCCGAGCAGUGGGCAUUGCGACUUGCGAGUCAUCAAAGAAGAAUCAUUGACAGAAAAAUAAUAAUUAAUGAAAACGUAUUGUAGUGGCAACAACAACAAAAUCAUUGAGUAUUACGUCAAAUUAUAUAUUUAUAUGUAUCUAUAGAGGUAGUUUUAUAGAUUUUACUCGCCUUAAUUGCUGUACAUCAUCUAGUAUCGGAACUACUAUCCAAACAACCAUGUAACAAAAAUUCAAAAUUCACAUUGGCAUUAAUUGGGAACCUAUAGUCCCUCAAAAACUCAUUUAAGCCCCAAUAUAAAUAAUUGGAACCCAAGUUUCCUAAAAUUGUCCUCGUCAUUAAUGAUUAUGAUAAUAAUACGACGCUACUAUACACUUAUUAUUGAAUGUAUAUCUACUGUAGAAGAAGUUAUAAUAUAGUAGUACCUAUAACUGAAGUAGUGUUUAGUAUUAUGUUUGUGUAUAGUAUUAUUAAUGGUUGUAUUAGCUGUAGUUUUUAUAGAACCCUGUCCGUCGGUGCGAUACCAACUCUGACUCGUUUGAAUAAUUGUUUUAAUUACUAUACAACCUAGCUCAUAUGAUAAUAAUAUACGACGUAUACUGUUGUCACACGCUCGCUAACGUUCGUCAGCUGCAACAGCCGCUCGUAAUAAAAAAUAUGAUAUAAUGUAUUAUUAUUAUAACUCUCGAGACACACGCAGAGCGGUCACAUAUUAUACUGCGUAACAUUAUAGUGCGACGAGCGCUUUUGAUUUGGUAGGAAAAAAUAUUUGGUUGGAGCGCAAGAAAGAAACUAAUUUUUUGUCUUCCUUAAAAGAUGCUCGUGCGACCACCGGAGAGAUCGUCUUCGUCACCGCCACACAUGUGUAUCACAAAUGUCAGCGGGAGAGCUGUACGGGUCUGUUUUUUUCGCUCUUGUCUUUUAUUGUGAUGGCAUUUUUUUUAGACGAUUAAUCGUCAUUGCUCUCACUCACGCAAAGAAAAUACAUGAAAUAUGUUGAUGUUUUCGGUCCAUGUUAUAUUGUUUGUGUAUUUGUAUGGUGAUUUUUUUAAGGAUGCUCGCUUCAUGGUUUUAUAAUAAUAUACCUAUUUAUUCUCCGAAUUCUGAUUUUUUGAAUUUUUAGGACACUUUAAAAAUCUUAUUUUCAACACUAUUGUCUAUUUAAGAUUGACCUAAUAUGAUUAUAAAACUACAUAUCACUAAACUAAAGCAAAUAUUUUUUGAAAUGUCAAUGUAUUGAAUUAAAACGAGUUCCUGAUUAUUUUACUGUAUAUGUUAAGGUACAAAAGAUAAUAUUGAAUAUUUAAGUUUAAUAUUACAAAAAAGUAUAAUUCAAAAAUGUCCACGAAAAAUUUCACAAAGCAGCUGAUGGAGCACUCCACUAUAAAAUUGGCAGAAGAUCCACCAAUCUAAGAUUAAAACCAUGGCUACCGCAGGAUAUUCUACUUGAACCUAAAGAAGACACUUCGGAUUCAGAUUUAGACCUAGACUUAUAAGCCAACUAAAAUGAAUAAUUAUUGUAAUUAUCGUAAAUAUUGCUGUAAACAUAAUUGUGAACAUAUUAAUCGUAAAUUGUGAUUAACAUUGUAAAAAUACCUGGUGUAUUGACACAAUUAAAUAAAUAAAUAAAUAAAAAAAUAUAUAAAAAAGUA